rnacentral:rRNA from 1 species
AUUGAACGCUGGCGGCAGGCCUAACACAUGCAAGUCGAACGAGUGGCGGACGGGUGAGUAAUGCUUGGGAAACUGCCUGAUGGAGGGGGAUAACUACUGGAAACGGUAGCUAAUACCGCAUACCAUCAGAUGUGCCCAGAUGGGAUUACCUAGUUGGUGGGGUAACGGCUCACCACGGCGACGAUCCCUAGCUGGUCUGAAAGGAUGACAAGCCACACUUGAACGGAGACACGGUCCAGACUCCUACGGGAGGCAGCAGUGGGGAAUAUUGCACAAUGGGAGCAAGCCUGAUGCAGCCAUGCCGCGUGUAUGAAGAAGGCCUUCGGGUUGUAAAGUACUUUCAGCGGGGAGGCGUUACCCGCAGAAGAAGCACAGGCUAACUCCGUGCCAGCAGCCGCGGUGAUUC